UUCCAGACAGAUGAGAACAUUAAAUUCUAGUUUUAUGAUUACAUUAACUUAAUAAUCGGCAUAGCAAAGGAUUUCCAGGUUUAUGUUCUAUUAAGGGUUGCAUCAGCCAGAUGAGAACAUUUUACUCUAGUUUCAUGUUUUUAUUAACAUCGUAAUACUUGGCAUGGUAAAGAAUUUCUGGGUUUAUGUUCGGUCAAGGCCGGGCAUCAAAUUAAUCAGGAGUGCUCUCAACGUAAAAGCAGAUCUCACCUCAUUCGUUGUGGUGUUUGUCAGACAAAGCUUAGCAUGAUAUGCAAAGAAACCCGCCAACAAGAGCGAAACUAUAGCCAUAAACACCA